rnacentral:sRNA from 1 species
GCAAGUAUUUUCAGUACGUACUCCCUCCUGAGAGACUCUGGAAGAGCGAUAAGCAUACUCAUUUGAGCCGGCACUUUUACAAAAGCAGCUGCAGCAUUGACAACUUCAGUACCACAUCACUUCAAUUGUGCCAAACUUGGUCGGAACAGCAGUAAGGCCAGAACUUGGCAACUUCUUAGCAAGCACGUUCUCUAGAACUUGGCAGUAUCCAUUUUUGAAACCCCCUUCUGAUUUCCAGCUUGGAUCUAAAGCAAUCUCGAACAAUGCCUUGAUCAGCUCCUCAUCCUCAAAGUACGUCCAAAUCCUCUUGUUCUUGCCUCUCCCACGCACAAUGCAUGAGCUUCCAAGAUGCUCCAUAACUGCAAUAUUAGAAAUAGCCCUAUAGCUAUUAUACAUCCCCUGAGCAAGAGUGUUGCGAAAAUUUGUCCAAUCAUCAGAUGUCGAAAUAGCUGAGAUAAACUCAGGUUCGGCGAGUUCUCCCUCAAGUAUAUCCAAUGGUAUCUCGUCCUCAUCCUUAUCCUCGAAAAUAUGAUGGGGAUCUCAAAAUCGCCCAACGACCCUUUAGUCUUCCAAAAGACCUCUGUACAAUAUUUCUAGCACUUGCAUGCCUCAUGUUAAAGUACUCCUCUGCACUACAUGGUGGGUUACAUGCUGUGAAACGGCCUAAAUGAUAUCUUUGGCCUCGGUAAGGGGCUAAAAAACCAUCUGUCACUU